rnacentral:lncRNA from 1 species
AAAUUCCGAAAUACCAACCCUAAACCAACCAACCAAAAAAAGAAAACAACAAACAAGAACAACCAAGAAACCUCAAGCACGUUAAACCUUUCCCAUCGCUCUUUCCAGGCUCCCUCCUGCGCCUUCUCCCACCCCCAAUGAUCUGAACGAGUCAUAUACCUAUUUGACAAGUUCAGAUCCCAGAAACAACUAUGCAACAGCUGAAGGACACCACGAGUCUAUACAACCACGACUCAAUGACGACGCAAUCGCAGACGCCCUUGUCCGAGGUGGCCGACGCGUUCGAGGAGCUCGCGCGCCGUUUGAGGCGGGAGAGGAGGAUCGUCAACGGAGAAGGCGAAUUAGGUUUCGUCGAAGAUGAACAAGAAGAUGGAGAAGAAGAUGCAGAUCUUCGAUUGGAUUUCUUUUGCGAGGCGUGCUCUUUGGUUCCCGUUCUCUUCAGCUGCCUCGGCCUCGCUUUCAAAUUCGC